rnacentral:rRNA from 1 species
GGGAACGUGCCCUUCGGUUCGGAAUAACUCAGGGAAACUUGAGCUAAUACCGGAUACGCCCUUUUGGGGAAAGGUUUACUGCCGAAGGAUCGGCCCGCGUCUGAUUAGCUAGUUGGUGGGGUAACGGCCUACCAAGGCGACGAUCAGUAGCUGGUCUGAGAGGAUGAUCAGCCACACUGGGACUGAGACACGGCCCAGACUCCUACGGGAGGCAGCAGUGGGGAAUAUUGGACAAUGGGCGCAAGCCUGAUCCAGCCAUGCCGCGUGAGUGAUGAAGGCCUUAGGGUUGUAAAGCUCUUUUGUCCGGGACGAUAAUGACGGUACCGGAAGAAUAAGCCCCGGCUAACUUCGUGCCAGCAGCCGCGGUAAUACGAAGGGGGCUAGCGUUGCUCGGAAUCACUGGGCGUAAAGGGCGCGUAGGCGGCUUUUUAAGUCGGGGGUGAAAGCCUGUGGCUCAACCACAGAAUUGCCUUCGAUACUGGAAAGCUUGAGACCGGAAGAGGACAGCGGAACUGCGAGU